rnacentral:rRNA from 1 species
GUGCCAGCAGCCGCGGUAAUACCAGCUCCGCGAGUGGUCGGGGUGCUUACUGGGCCUAAAGCGCCCGUAGCCGGCCCGGUAAGUCGUCCCUGAAAUCCACGGGCUCAACCCGUGGGCUGGGGACGAUACUGCCGGGCUUGGGGGCGGGAGAGGCCGAGGGUACUCCCGGGGUAGGGGCGAAAUCCGAUAAUCCCGGGAGGACCACCAGUGGCGAAGGCGCUCGGCUGGAACGCGCCCGACGGUGAGGGGCGAAAGCUGGGGGAGCAAAGGGGAUUAGAUACCCCUGUAGUCCCAGCUGUAAACGAUGCGGGCUAGCUGUUGGGGCGGGCUUAGAGCCCGCCCAGUGGCGGAGGGAAGCCGUUAAGCCCGCCGCCUGGGGAGUACGGCCGCAAGGCUGAAACUUAAAGGAAUUGGCGGGGGGGCACCACAAGGGGUGAAGCUUGCGGCUUAAUUGGAGUCAACGCCGGAAACCUUACCCGGGGCGACAGCAGGAUGAUGGCCAGGCUAACGACCUUGCCGGACGAGCUGAGAGGAGGUGCAUGGCCGUCGUCAGCUCGUGCCGUGAGGUGUCCGGUUAAGUCCGGCAACGAGCGAGACCCCCACCCCUAGUUGCUACCCGAUCCUUCGGGAUCGGGGGCACACUAGGGGGACUGCCGGCGUAAGCCGGAGGAAGGAGGGGGCCACGGCAGGUCAGUAUGCCCCGAAACCCCGGGGCUGCACGCGAGCUGCAAUGGCGGGGACAGCGGGAUCCGACCCCGAAAGGGGGAGGUAAUCCCGUAAACCCCGCCCCAGUAGGGAUCGAGGGCUGUAACUCGCCCUCGUGAACGUGGAAUCCCUAGUAACCGCGUGUCACCAACGCGCGGUGAAUACGUCCCUGCCCCUUGCACACACCGCCCGUC